rnacentral:rRNA from 1 species
GACCUCGGAUCAGGUAGGGAUACCCGCUGAACUUAAGCAUAUCAAUAAGCGGAGGAAAAGAAACCAACAGGGAUUGCCUCAGUAACGGCGAGUGAAGCGGCAACAGCUCAAAUUUGAAAUCUGGCCUUCUGGUCCGAAUUGUAAUUUGUAGAGGAUGCUUUGAACAUGGUCCGGUCUAAGUUCCUUGGAACAGGACGUCAUAGAGGGUGAGAAUCCCGUAUGUGACUGGGUGCCUAAGUUCAUGUAAAGCUCCUUCAACGAGUCGAGUUGUUUGGGAAUGCAGCUCAAAAUGGGUGGUAAAUUUCAUCUAAAGCUAAAUAUUGGCCAGAGACCGAUAGCGCACAAGUAGAGUGAUCGAAAGAUGAAAGGCACUUUGGAAAGAGAGUUAAAUAGUACGUGAAAUUGUUGAAAGGGAAGCGC